CGGCUUACUUGAUUUGAAGUCUGGACCAUAGUUUGGAUGCAUGAGUGCCUAGUGGGCCAUUUUUGGUAAGCAGAACUGGCGCUGUGGGAUGAACCGAACGUUGAGUUACGGCGCCUGAUUAUAGACGCUCAUCAGAUACCACAAAAGGUGUUGGUUGCUAUAGACAGCAGGACGGUGGCCAUGGAAGUCGGAACCCGCUAAGGAGUGUGUAACAACUCACCUGCCGAAGCAACUAGCCCUGAAAAUGGAUGGCGCUAGAGCGUUUAGCCUAUACUCAACCGUUGAAGCACAUGCAGCGGUAAGCAAUUGCCGUUUUCAUGCUUUAUGGCAUAUGCAUGCUAGUCAUGCUUCAACGAGUAGGAGGGUCGCGGCGAUAUGCUUUGAAGGCUUUGCGGCGUGAGCCGGGCUGGAGCUGUCGUCGGUGCAGAUCUUGGUGGUAGUAGCAAAUACUCAAGCGAGAACCUUGAGGACUGAAGUGGAGAAGGCUUCCAUGUGAACAGCAGUUGAACAUGGGUCAGUCGAUCCUAAGACAUCGGCGAAGGCCGUUCAGAAGCGGUGUCGGUUAUGUGGCAGUGUGCUGUCUCGGCAGUAUGCUGUCCGGCUAUAGGCGCUCGUUCGUCUCUAGUCGCCGCACCUGUCAAAAGGGAAUUGGAUUAAUAUUUCCAAACCUAACAGCGGAGAUUGGUUGUUCAUUUGGCUGCACGGGCCUUGUGCUCGUUGUAGUCGGGGCAACGCGCUGCGGUAACGCAAACGAACUCGAACACGCUGACUGGAGUCCCGGGAAGAGUUGUCUUUUCUUCAUAAGGAGUCGACUCCAUGGAAUUGGUUCAGCCAGAGAUNNGGAGAUGGCGUCCGAAAAGCAUUGCGCUUCUUGCAAUGUCCGGUGCGCUUCAAGCGGCCCAUGAAAAUUCGAGGGAGAGAAUGAUUUUCGUGUUAGAUCGUACCCAUAUCCGCAGCAGGUCUCCAAGGUUAAAAGCCUCU
rnacentral:rRNA from 1 species